rnacentral:rRNA from 1 species
AUUGAACGCUGGCGGCAGGCUUAACACAUGCAAGUCGAGCGGAGAUGAGGUGCUUGCACCUUAUCUUAGCGGCGGACGGGUGAGUAAUGCUUAGGAAUCUGCCUAUUAGUGGGGGACAACAUUCCGAAAGGAAUGCUAAUACCGCAUACGUCCUACGGGAGAAAGCAGGGGAUCUUCGGACCUUGCGCUAAUAGAUGAGCCUAAGUCGGAUUAGCUAGUUGGUGGGGUAAAGGCCUACCAAGGCGACGAUCUGUAGCGGGUCUGAGAGGAUGAUCCGCCACACUGGGACUGAGACACGGCCCAGACUCCUACGGGAGGCAGAAGUGGGGAAUAUUGGACAAUGGGGGGAACCCUGAUCCAGCCAUGCCGCGUGUGGGAAGAAAGCCUUAUGGUUGUAAAGCACUUUAAGCGAGGAGGAGGCUACUGAGACUAAUACUCUUGGAUAGUGGACGUUACUCGCAGAAUAAGCACCGGCUAACUCUGUGCCAGCCGCCGCCGUAAAAC